UACGUAGGGUGCGAGCGUUGCCCGGAUUUAUUGGGCGUAAAGCGCGCGCAGGCGGCGAUCUACGUCUGGGGUGAAAGCCCGGAGCUCAACUCCGGGACUGCCUUGGAUACGGGAUCGCUUGAGGAUUGGAGAGGCAAGGGGAAUUCCACGUGUAGCGGUGAAAUGCGUAGAUAUGUGGAGGAACACCUGUGGCGAAGGCGCCUUGCUGGCCAAUUUCUGACGCUGAGGCGCGAAAGCGUGGGGAGCAAACAGG
rnacentral:rRNA from 1 species